rnacentral:rRNA from 1 species
GAGUUUGAUCCUGGCUCAGAACGAACGCUGGCGGCAUGCCUAACACAUGCAAGUCGAACGAGACCUUCGGGUCUAGUGGCGCACGGGUGCGUAACGCGUGGGAAUCUGCCCUUGGGUUCGGAAUAACUCAGAGAAAUUUGAGCUAAUACCGGAUGAUGUCGCAAGACCAAAGAUUUAUCGCCCAGGGAUGAGCCCGCGUAGGAUUAGCUAGUUGGUGAGGUAAAAGCUCACCAAGGCGACGAUCCUUAGCUGGUCUGAGAGGAUGAUCAGCCACACUGGGACUGAGACACGGCCCAGACUCCUACGGGAGGCAGCAGUGGGGAAUAUUGGACAAUGGGCGAAAGCCUGAUCCAGCAAUGCCGCGUGAGUGAUGAAGGCCCUAGGGUUGUAAAGCUCUUUUACCCGGGAUGAUAAUGACAGUACCGGGAGAAUAAGCUCCGGCUAACUCCGUGCCAGCAGCCGCCGCAGUAAG